rnacentral:SRP_RNA from 2 species
UUCAGGACUCUAUACGAUAAUGAUGAAACUAACCCCGCCAGGAUCGGAAGAUAGCAACGGUACCUUUUAGAUUUAUGCGUGUAAUCGGUUUUGAGUGU